rnacentral:rRNA from 1 species
AUUGAACGCUGGCGGCAGGCUUAACACAUGCAAGUCGAGCGGGGUGAUGGUGCUUGCACUAUCACUUAGCGGCGGACGGGUGAGUAAUGCUUAGGAAUCUGCCUAUUAGUGGGGGACAACAUCUCGAAAGGGAUGCUAAUACCGCAUACGUCCUACGGGAGAAAGCAGGGGAUCACUCGUGACCUUGCGCUAAUAGAUGAGCCUAAGUCGGAUUAGCUAGUUGGUGGGGUAAAGGCCUACCAAGGCGACGAUCUGUAGCGGGUCUGAGAGGAUGAUCCGCCACACUGGGACUGGGACACGGCCCAGACUCCUACGGGAGGCAGCAGUGGGGAAUAUUGGACAACGGGGGGAACCCUGAUCCAGCCAUGCGGCGUGUGUGAAGAAGGCCUUAUGGUUGUAAAGCACUUUAAGCGAGGAGGAGGCUCUUUUGGUUAAUACCCAAGAUGAGUGGACGUUACUCGCAGAAUAAGCACCGGCUAACUCUGUGCCAGCCGCCGUAAAAC